rnacentral:siRNA from 1 species
ACCCGCGGUUCUAUCAAAGUUGGU